AUAACUCUGGCGGCGCGCCUCAUACUAGAGCUUGUGCAAGCAAGUGGACUAGAAAUAGCUCAGGGUAGAAGACUCCCUGCGGCGCCAUAGGAAGAAUGAGGCACAAGCCGAUUUUGUAGCCUGAAACGGACAUUACCCGGCUGGAAAAAGCUGGAGUAAAAAGAUGCUGAUCAGCUGGGCUGAAGAAUCAGCUGUGAUUCACUGAAGUCAAAUCUCCUGGGAAGUGUUUCCUCAGAAGCCGUGCUCCAGAGGUGGCCAAGGUUGAACCUCAUGCCGGCAGCUGAACUUGGUUGUGUAAGAGUGACCCAGCUGAUAACUGCUUUAAAGGUAUAAAGGGAUCAUGGACAGCAGGUGAGGCUUGACCCUGUGUGGCAGGCCUGGAGUCCCUGAAAAGAGCCCAGGAGAGGUUAAAGGUGAAAGUGCAGCCCAGCUCCUGUAGAAGAGUCCAGCAUUUUGGAGAUGCCAGUACCAGGGGAUAACCACCAAGAACAGCAGCAGGUGUGGAGUGGAACCAGCCUGAGCCUAGAAGACAUGUUCUGUGUGCUACAGAGGACAGAGCCAGAGAAGUGACCAGGCCCUUUGGAGGAGCUCAGAAGAUCAUGAGAGACUUCCAGACAUUGGAGGCUGAGUCAUUUACUGUUGGAACUGGUUUUGCUUUGUUCAGACUGUGACUGUGGGCUGGUUCUUCUCUCUUGAGGUAAGAGAGAGGUAAAAAAACUUAUUUUUUAUUUUACAGGAGCAAAUUUGAAUAUUUUAAAGAGACUUUGGACUUUUACUAUUUGAAUUUUAUUUAUUUAUUUCAUGUAUGUGAGUACACUGUCGCUAUCUUCAGACACACCAGAAGAGGACAUCGGAUCCUCAUUACAGAUGGUUGUGAGCCACCGGUGUGGUUGCUGGGAAUUGAACUCAGGACCUCUGGAAGAGCAGUCAGUGCUCUUAACCGAUGAGCCAUCUCUCCAGCUCCAAUAUUUGAAUUUUUUUAAAGAUUUAUUUAUUUUUACGUGCACUAGUGUUUUUUCCUGCAUGUAUGUCUGUGUGGUGGGGCCAGAUCCCCUUGAACUGAGUUGCAGACAGUAGUGAGCUGCCGUGUCAGUGCUGGGAAUUGAACCCAGGUCCUCUGGAAGAACAUCCAGUGCUCUUAACCACAGAGCCUUCUCUCUAGCCCUACUGUUUACAUUUUUAAAUUCUUUGGGACGUUUAAAUUUGGGGAUGCUUUAGACUGUGAUGUCAAUAGUAAUGUGUGAUCUUGGGAGUGAACAGAAAGGAAAGGUUAUGGCUUCAUACUGAAGCGAUGUGUUUGUGUGUCAAGCUGACAAGGGGUCAGUUAUUCUUGGUAGCCUGAUGUCACCUUGACACACAGGCUAGAGUCAUCUGAGAGAUGGGAAUCUCAGUUGAGAGCAAUGAGAUCAGGUUGUAGGGCAUUUCCUGCACUAGUGGUUGAAGGUGUAGCCAUCCCUGGGCUGAUGGUCCUGGGUUCUGUAAGGAAGCAGACUGAGCAAGCCAGUGAGCAGCGCUCUCCAUGGCCUCUGCAUCAGCUCCUGCCUCCAGGUUCCUGCCCUGCUGGAGUCCCUGUCCUGACUUCCCUCAGUGACGGACUGGACUGUCACCUGGAAGUAUAAGCAACAUAAACCUUUUCCUUCCCGCCUUGAUGUCGGGCAUGGUGUUUUGUCACAUCAAUAAAAACCCCAGGACAACAACUAACCCACAAUAAAAAGGAGGAUAAUGAAGAGGCUUUAUACACAACUUACAAAGCCUUUCUUAGGCCAUUUUUAUAGACUGGUAUGAGGCGUGGGGUAUAAAUAGAAAAGUUGGUUUUAACAAGUAAAGCUGGUUUCCUAUUGCAGUUUACUAAGGCGGAGGUCACAGACUUUGCUGUUGUUUUAAAAUCUCCUAGGAACUUCUUAUAACAACAAACUUGUAGAUUGCUCCUCUGUCUGUGCUAGGGCCUGGAAAUCUUGUUUCACAUAGGUAAUGUAAUCUAAGCUUUAAUAACAGUCAUCAUUUCAAAAG
rnacentral:lncRNA from 1 species